GCCUGGAUAGCUCAGUUGGUUAGAGCGUGGUGCUGAUAACCCCAAGGCUGCCGGUUCGAUCCCCAUAUGAGAUG
rnacentral:tRNA from 1 species